UACGGAGGGUGCGAGCGUUGUCCGGAAUCACUGGGCGUAAAGGGCGCGUAGGUGGCGCGGGCAGUCAACGGUGAAAGUUCGGGGCUCAACCCUGAAUCGGCCGUCGAUACUCCCGGGCUUGAGCACUGUAGAGGCAGAUGGAAUUCCGGGUGUAGCGGUGGAAUGCGUAGAGAUCCGGAAGAACACCGGUGGCGAAGGCGGUCUGCUGGGCAGUUGCUGACACUGAGGCGCGACAGCGUGGGGAGCGAACGGG
rnacentral:rRNA from 1 species